CGGGAUCCCUCGCGGGUGCACCG
rnacentral:siRNA from 1 species